rnacentral:rRNA from 1 species
AGGACAAACGCUGGCGGGGUGCAUGAGACAUGCAAGUCGCACGGGGUUGAUCGGGCUUGCUCGAUCAACCUAGUGGCGAACGGCUGAGUAACGCGUAGGUGACCUACCCGGAAGUGGGGAAUAACUGCCCGAAAGGGUGGCUAAUACCGCAUGUGGUCGGCGAAUCGGAUCGCCGUCCAAAGCCGAAAGGCGCUUCCGGAGGGGCCUGCGUCCGAUUAGCUAGUUGGCGAGGUAACGGCUCACCAAGGCGACGAUCGGUAGCUGGUCUGAGAGGAUGAUCAGCCAGACUGGGACUGAGAACGGCCCAGACUCCUACGGGAGGCAGCAGUCGGGAAUUUGCCCAAUGGACGAAAGUCUGAGGCAGCAACUCCGCGUGAGGAUGGAAGGCCUUCGGGUCGUAAACCCUCUUUUUCCCGAGGUAAGAUCCAAGACGGUACCUGGGAAUAAGCCACGGCUAACUACGUGCCAGCAGCCGC